AGUGAACGCUGGCGGUAGGCCUAACACAUGCAAGUCGAACGGCAGCACAGUAAGAGCUUGCUCUUACGGGUGGCGCGUGGCGGACGGGUGAGGAAUACAUCGGAAUCUACUUUUUCGUGGGGGAUAACGUAGGGAAACUUACGCUAAUACCGCAUACGACCUACGGGUGAAAGCAGGGGAUCUUCGGACCUUGCGCGAUUGAAUGAGCCGAUGUCGGAUUAGCUAGUUGGCGGGGUAAAGGCCCACCAAGGCGACGAUCCGUAGCUGGUCUGAGAGGAUGAUCAGCCACACUGGAACUGAGACACGGUCCAGACUCCUACGGGAGGCAGCAGUGGGGAAUAUUGGACAAUGGGCGCAAGCCUGAUCCAGCCAUACCGCGUGGGUGAAGAAGGCCUUCGGGUUGUAAAGCCCUCUUGUUGGGAAAGAAAAGCAGCAGGUUAAUACCCCGCUGUUCUGACGGUACCCAAAGAAUAAGCACCGGCUAACUUCGUG
rnacentral:rRNA from 1 species